rnacentral:rRNA from 1 species
GACAGAGGGUGCAAACGUUGCUCGGAAUUACUGGGCGUAAAGCGCGUGUAGGUGGCUUCGCGAGUCCGAUGUGAAAGCCCAGGGCUCAACCCUGGAAGUGCAUUGGAUACUACGGAGCUGGAGGCCUGGAGAGGUGGGCGGAAUUCCCCGGUGUAGAGGUGAAAAUUCGUAGAUAUCGGGAGGAACACCAGUGGCGAAGGCGGCUCACUGGACAGGUCCUGACACUGAGACGCGAAAGCGUGGGUAGCAAACAGG